rnacentral:rRNA from 1 species
AUCGAACGCUGGCGGCAGGCUUAACACAUGCAAGUCGAGCGGAGAUGAGGUGCUUGCACCUUAUCUUAGCGGCGGACGGGUGAGUAAUGCUUAGGAAUCUGCCUAUUAGUGGGGGACAACAUUCCGAAAGGAAUGCUAAUACCGCAUACGUCCUACGGGAGAAAGCAGGGGAUCUUCGGACCUUGCGCUAAUAGAUGAGCCUAAGUCGGAUUAGCUAGUUGGUGGGGUAAAGGCCUACCAAGGCGACGAUCUGUAGCGGGUCUGAGAGGAUGAUCCGCCACUGGGACUGUGACACGGCCCAGACUCCUACGGGAGGCAGCAGUGGGGAAUAUUGGACAAUGGGGGGAACCCUGAUCCAGCCAUGCCGCGUGUGUGAAGAAGGCCUUAUGGUUGUAAAGCACUUUAAGCGAGGAGGAGGCUACUGAGACUAAUACUCUUGGAUAGUGGACGUUACUCGCAGAAUAAGCACCGGCUAACUCUGUGCCAGCCGCCGCCGUAACAC